rnacentral:rRNA from 1 species
UACGAAGGGGGCUAGCGUUGCUCGGAAUCACUGGGCGUAAAGCGCACGUAGGCGGCUUGUUAAGUCAGGGGUGAAAUCCUGGAGCUCAACUCCAGAACUGCCUUUGAUACUGGCGAGCUUGAGUUCGGGAGAGGUGAGUGGAACUGCGAGUGUAGAGGUGAAAUUCGUAGAUAUUCGCAAGAACACCAGUGGCGAAGGCGGCUCACUGGCCCGAUACUGACGCUGAGGCACGAAAGCGUGGGGAGCAAAC